GGCGCCAUGGUGGACGAGAGCCGACGGCGCCAUGGUGGACGAGAGCCGACGGCGCCAUGGUGGACGAGAGCCGACGGCGCCAUGGUGGACGAGAGCCGACGGCGCCAUGGUGGACGAGAGCCGACGGCGCCAUGGUGGACGGAGGCCCUGCCUUAAGAAUGAUGUUGGGACCCGAUGGCCUUGGCUGAUGGAGGAACUGCAUCUGGAGGACGACCAUGAAUCUACCUGCCAACAGGUGGUACUGGUUUGCACUGGUUUGCAUGAACUGAACAUGGUGGACAUGAGGCAAAUUCCCUGCUUUUUGCUCCAGACCAGGACUCUUUGAUGGAGGGGUGGUGAUGGAGCCGUGCUGAGGACCCGCUGGUGAAGGACGUCCCUCGGUGGGGGGGCAAGGACAGCCGACCCUGAGGAUCCGCUCGGAUCUACGAUCGCUACGAUGCGACUGCAGAGGUCUCAGGAAGGUAAA